rnacentral:misc_RNA from 1 species
UACGGAGGGUGCAAGCGUUGUCCGGAUUUAUUGGGCGUAAAGCGUCUGCAGGCGUUCCUUUAAGUUAUCCUUCAAAGCCCGAGGCUCAACUUCGGAAAGGGGGAUAAUACUAUUGGAAUUGAAUGGUAUCGGGGCUACUGGAACUUACGGUGUAGGAGUGAAAUCCGUUGAUAUCGUAAGGAACACCGAGGGCGAAGGCGGGUAGCUAGAUACACAUUGACGCUCAGAGACGAAAGCUAGGGUAGCGAAAGGG